AGCCGGUACAGGAUGGACCCGCGUCUGAUUAGCUAGUUGGUAAGGUAACGGCUUACCAAGGCGACGAUCAGUAGCCGACCUGGGAGGGUGAUCGGCCACAUUGGAACUGAGACACGGUCCAAACGCCUACGGGAGGCAGCAGUGGGGAAUAUUGCACAAUGGGCGAAAGCCUGAUGCAGCAACGCCGCGUGAGUGAUGAAGGCCUUCGGGUCGUAAAACUCUGUCCUCAAGGAAGAUAAUGACGGUACUUGAGGAGGAAGCCCCGGCUAACUACG
rnacentral:rRNA from 1 species